rnacentral:misc_RNA from 1 species
GAUGAAGAACGCAGCAAAAUGCGAUAAGUAAUGUGAAUUGCAGAAUUCAGUGAAUCAUCGAAUCUUUGAACGCACAUUGCGCCCGCUGGUAUUCCGGCGGGCAUGCCUGUUCGAGCGUCAUUUCAACCCUCAAGCCCCCGGGUUUGGUGUUGGGGAUCGGCUCUGCCCUUCUGGGCGGUGCCGCCCCCGAAAUACAUUGGCGGUCUCGCUGCAGCCUCCAUUGCGUAGUAGCUAACACCUCGCAACUGGAACGCGGCGCGGCCAUGCCGUAAAACCCCAACUUCUGAAUGUUGACCUCGGAUCAGGUAGGAAUACCAGCUGAACUUAAGCAUAUCAAUAAGCGGAGGA